UCACCGGGUUAACAUCUACAGA
ensembl:miRNA mir-42 ncRNA